rnacentral:tRNA from 1 species
GCUGAUGUAGCUCAGUCGGUAGAGCACUUCCUUGGUAAGGAAGAGGUCAUCGGUUCGAAUCCGAUCAUCAGCU